rnacentral:lncRNA from 1 species
GAAAGAGCCUUUAGCAUUUUGAUUAAUGAGAAAUAAAAAGUGUUCACUUCGCCCCCUGCCGUUAGUAAUUCGUUAGGAUUCCGUUUAUGAAAUAUUAUUAUAUAUUUUUUUAUGCCAAAAAUGUCCUCAAUCUUUUCUUUUGUGAACAUGGUGAUGAACAAAAUGAUGAGAGACAAAAUGAUUAUUUUAUUAUCACAGUUCACACCGUACCUUCAUGUGAACAUUUUUUAUCUUAUAAGGCGGCAGAGUGUAGGUUUUUAAAUGACAGUAGGAAAAAGUGAAAAAUCAGAUUUUGACAGGAGAAUUUUCUGUAAUUUAACCAAUAAAAAAAUCUAAGUUGGGUUCAAUUUUAUAUAUU